GGCGGGCCUAAAUGCAGUCGAGCGGAGAGAGGAGCUUGCUCCUUGAUUUUCGGCGGACGGGUGAGUAUUGCCUAGGAAUCUGCCUGGCAGUGGGGGAUAACGUUCCGAAAGGAACGCUAAUACCGCAUACGUCCUACGGGAGAAAGCAGGGGACCUUCGGGCCUUGCGCUAUCAGAUGAGCCUAGGUCGGAUUAGCUAGUUGGUGAGGUAAUGGCUCACCAAGGCGACGAUCCGUAACUGGUCUGAGAGGAUGAUCAGUCACACUGGAACUGAGACACGGUCCAGACUCCUACGGGAGGCAGCAGUGGGGAAUAUUGGACAAUGGGCGAAAGCCUGAUCCAGCCAUGCCGCGUGUGUGAAGAAGGUCUUCGGAUUGUAAAGCACUUUAAGUUGGGAGGAAGGGCAUUAACCUAAUACGUUAGUGUUUUGACGUUACCGACAGAAUAAGCACCGGCUAACUUCGUGCCAGCAGCCGCGGUAAUACGAAGGGUGCAAGCGUUAAUCGGAAUUACUGGGCGUAAAGCGCGCGUAGGUGGUUCGUUAAGUUGGAUGUGAAAGCCCCGGGCUCAACCUGGGAACUGCAUCCAAAACUGGCGAGCUAGAGUACGGUAGAGGGUGGUGGAAUUUCCUGUGUAGCGGUGAAAUGCGUAGAUAUAGGAAGGAACACCAGUGGCGAAGGCGACCACCUGGACUGAUACUGACACUGAGGUGCGAAAGCGUGGGGAGCAAACAGGAUUAGAUACCCUGGUAGUCCACGCCGUAAACGAUGUCAACUAGCCGUUGGGUUCCUUGAGAACUUAGUGGCGCAGCUAACGCAUUAAGUUGACCGCCUGGGGAGUACGGCCGCAAGGUUAAAACUCAAAUGAAUUGACGGGGGCCCGCACAAGCGGUGGAGCAUGUGGUUUAAUUC
rnacentral:rRNA from 1 species